CGUAAAGCGCACGUAGGCGGCUUUCUAAGUCAGGGGUGAAACCCUGGAGCUCAACUCCAGAACUGCCUUUGAUACUGGGAAGCUUGAGUUCGGGAGAGGUGAGUGGAACUGCGAGUGUAGAGGUGAAAUUCGUAGAUAUUCGCAAGAACACCGGUGGCGAAGGCGGGUCUCUGGGCAGUAACUGACGCUGAGGAGCGAAAGCGUGGGGAGCGAACAGGAUUAGAUACCCUGGUAGUCCACGCCGUAAACGGUGGGUACUAGGUGUGGGUUUCCUUCCUUGGGAUCCGUGCCGUAGCUAACGCAUUAAGUACCCCGCCUGGGGAGUACGGCCGCGAGGCUAAAACUCAAAGAAAUUGACGGGGGCCCGCACAAGCGGCGGAGCAUGUGGAUUAAUUCGAUGCAACGCGAAGAACCUUACCUGGGUUUGACAUGCACAGGACGCCGGCAGAGAUGUCGGUUCCCUUGUGGCCUGUGUGCAGGUGGUGCAUGGCUGUCGUCAGCUCGUGUCGUGAGAUGUUGGGUUAAGUCCCGCAACGAGCGCAACCCUUGUCUCAUGUUGCCAGCGGGUAAUGCCGGGGACUCGUGAGAGACUGCCGGGGUCAACUCGGAGGAAGGUGGGGAUGACGUCAAGUCAUCAUGCCCCUUAUGUCCAGGGCUUCACACAUGCUACAAUGGCCGGUACAAAGGGCUGCGAUGCCGCGAGGUUAAGCGAAUCCUUUUAAAGCCGGUCUCAGUUCGGAUCGGGGUCUGCAACUCGACCCCGUGAAGUCGGAGUCGCUAG
rnacentral:rRNA from 1 species